GACGAACCGUCCAACCGUUAUUCGGAAUCACUGGGCUUACAGAGUUCGUAGGCGGUCUGGCAAGUUGGGUGUGAAAUCCCUCGGCUCAACCGAGGAACUGCGCUUGAAACUACCAGACUCGAGGGAGAUAGAGGAAAGCGGAACUGAUAGUGGAGCGGUGAAAUGCGUUGAUAUCAUCAGGAACACCGGUGGCGAAGGCGGCUUUCUGGGUCUUACCUGACGCUGAGGAACGAAAGCUAGGGGAGCGAACGGG
rnacentral:rRNA from 1 species